CGCUAUCAGAUGAGCCUAGGUCGGAUUAGCUAGUUGGUGGGGUAAAGGCCUACCAAGGCGACGAUCCGUAACUGGUCUGAGAGGAUGAUCAGUCACACUGGAACUGAGACACGGUCCAGACUCCUACGGGAGGCAGCAGUGGGGAAUAUUGGACAAUGGGCGAAAGCCUGAUCCAGCCAUGCCGCGUGUGUGAAGAAGGUCUUCGGAUUGUAAAGCACUUUAAGUUGGGAGGAAGGGCAGUAAGUUAAUACCUUGCUGUUUUGACGUUACCAACAGAAUAAGCACCGGCUAACUUCGUGCCAGCAGCCGCGGUAAUACGAAGGGUGCAAGCGUUAAUCGGAAUUACUGGGCGUAAAGCGCGCGUAGGUGGUU
rnacentral:rRNA from 1 species